rnacentral:lncRNA from 1 species
AACUUUUAACCAAUUUGAUCCUUGCUUGACUACUAACUCGAAUCUUAUGAAUAAAAAUAAAAACAAAAAGAUAGAAUUGAACAAAGCAGAAUUGACCUUAUGUCCGUUUGAAAACACUAACAAGGUCAUGCUACCCAAUUUCACUACUGGUCAAAUGAAAUAAGACUAAGAAGAAUGAGAAAAAUCAUGGAGCAGACGAGGAAAAGAGAACAAAGAUAAAGAACUGAAAGAAAAAGAAAGAAAAUACUCCUAAGCAAAAUAGUCAAAUGGCUGGCUUGAACAGGUCUUCGGUAUCCUCUGAUUUUGGCCGGAAUGGGUUUUACUCACAUGUUCUCAAAUGAAAACACCUGAAUAAAACCGCUUCCUACUCCCAAUCCAUUGAUUUUAUUUUAAAGACUCAGGGCUGCCUUUUUCGAACCAAAAUUCGUGACGUUUUGUCAAGAUUUGAAGGAAGUGAGGUGGAGUUUUGGGAUGAGGGAAGAAAAAGGGUUCAGGGGUGUUAAUUUGGUGCAAAAAGAGGUGGCUCCGUCAGCGGGGGUGGAGGAUCGGAGGGCAACACUCUAGGGUUUCGAGCUUUGAACGGAGAUUCGAGGGUAUUCUGGGAAGAUUCAAGGUAAACAGGUUUUAGAUUCAAAAUGAGGAGGUCAAGGUGGGCUUAUGGUAUAAUUUUGGUGAAGGUUGGACGCCAGCCACCACCGUGGGUAAUUCCCGGUAGGCGGCAGGCGAUGGUUCGUGGUGGUGGUGGGUCUGAGGUUGAAGAUGAAAG